AAUUAUCCGUGAAACUGCGAAUGGCUCAUUAAAUCAGUUAUCGUUUAUUUGAUAGUACCUUACUACUUGGAUAACCGUGGUAAUUCUAGAGCUAAUACAUGCUGAAAACCCCAACUUCGGGAGGGGUGUAUUUAUUAGAUAAAAAACCAACGCCCUUCGGGGCUUCUUGGUGAUUCAUGAUAACUUUACGGAUCGCAUGGCCUUGCGCCGGCGACGGUUCAUUCAAAUUUCUGCCCUAUCAACUUUCGAUGGUAAGGUAUUGGCUUACCAUGGUUUCAACGGGUAACGGGGAAUUAGGGUUCGAUUCCGGAGAGGGAGCCUGAGAAACGGCUACCACAUCCAAGGAAGGCAGCAGGCGCGCAAAUUACCCAAUCCCGACACGGGGAGGUAGUGACAAUAAAUACUGAUACAGGGCUCUUUUGGGUCUUGUAAUUGGAAUGAGUACAAUUUAAACCUCUUAACGAGGAACAAUUGGAGGGCAAGUCUGGUGCCAGCAGCCGCGGUAAUUCCAGCUCCAAUAGCGUAUAUUAAAGUUGUUGCAGUUAAAAAGCUCGUAGUUGAAACUUGGGUCUGGCUGGCAGGUCCGCCUCACCGCGUGUACUUGUCCGGCCGGGCCUUCCUUCUGGAGAACCUCAUGCCCUUCACUGGGCGUGUUGGGGACCAGGACUUUUACUUUGAAAAAAUUAGAGUGUUCAAAGCAGGCCUUUGCUCGAAUACGUUAGCAUGGAAUAAUAGAAUAGGACGUGCGGUCCUAUUUUGUUGGUUUCUAGGACCGCCGUAAUGAUUAAUAGGGACAGUCGGGGGCAUCAGUAUUCAAUUGUCAGAGGUGAAAUUCUUGGAUUUAUUGAAGACUAACUACUGCGAAAGCAUUUGCCAAGGAUGUUUUCAUUAAUCAGUGAACGAAAGUUAGGGGAUCGAAGACGAUCAGAUACCGUCGUAGUCUUAACCGUAAACUAUGCCGACUAGGGAUCGGGCGAUGUUCUUUUUCUGACUCGCUCGGCACCUUACGAGAAAUCAAAGUUUUU
rnacentral:rRNA from 1 species